rnacentral:misc_RNA from 1 species
AGCCAACCCCCNAAAAAGCCGUCCCNGNUCGGAUUGUAGUCUGCNACUCGACUACNUGAAGUUGGGAUCGCUAGUAAUCGCGUAUCNNGAAUGUCGCGGUGNAUACGUUCCCGGGCCUUGUACACACCGCCCGUCACACCACGGGAGUUGGAAGCGCCCGAAGCCGGUGACCAANCCGCAAGGAUGGAGCCGUCGAAGGUGAAGCCGAUGACUGGGGUGAAGUCGUAACAAGGUAGCCGUAUCGGAAGGUGCGGCUGGAUCACCUCCUUUCUAAGGAAAAUAAGAAAGACGUAAAGUCGAUCUUAUAAAAAGACUAAGGCAAUAAAACUUGGACAAGUUGGAUUGUUUCACUGUUGAGUAUUUAAGGUUAAAAACUAAAUAAAUACAGAAAAUUUCUGGUGGCGAUGCGUUUUUGGGAAACACCCGUUCUCAUACCGAACACGAUGGUUAAGCCAUUAACGGCCGAUGGUACUUGGUUGGAGACGACCUGGGAGAGUAGGUGGCUGCCAGAUUACCAGUUGUUUUUAUUACAACAAAUAAAAACAAAAACAACAAAAAAGAGCUUGACAAUAACAAGUGACUAUGAUAAUAUAUCCUAGCGCUUAAAACAAGCCAAACGAACAUUGAAAACUACACAUUGAAAAUGAGAAUCGUUAAAAAACGAUUUGACAUCAAAUAAUCAAAAUCCUUGAUAAAAAAUAUAUUCCUAUAUGUCGCAUAUAAGAAUAUAUAAAAGAUAAAGAACCAAGCAACAAGCUACGAACAAAAAUAACUUGUAAAUCUUAGCUCUUAGCAAGACAAUCGAUUUUAUGUUGGUUAAUCUGUUUGGGUUAAUUAAUAAGGAAAUUAUUUUUUGUUCUAAGUAUAUCUAAGCUUUUCUUAAUCUUCCAAAACCGUGAAGAUUAAAAAAGCCAAGAGUCACUAAGAACAAAGAAAUAAUUAGGUCAAGCNCAUAAAGGGCAUAGGGUGGAUACCUAGGC